UACGUAGGGGGCAAGCGUUGUCCGGAAUCAUUGGGCGUAAAGCGCGUGUAGGCGGCCCGGUAAGUCCGCUGUAAAAGUCCAGGGCUCAACCCUGGAAAGCCGGUGGAUACUGUCGGGCUCGAGUACGGAAGAGGCGAGUGGAAUUCCUGGUGUAGCGGUGAAAUGCGCAGAUAUCAGGAGGAACACCAAUUGCGAAGGCAGCUCGCUGGGACGUUACUGACGCUGAGACGCGAAAGCGUGGGGAGCAAACAGG
rnacentral:rRNA from 1 species